rnacentral:tRNA from 2 species
GGGCGAUUAGUUCAGUUGGCUAGAACACCUGCCUUACAAGCAGGGGGUCGUAGGUUCAAGUCCUACAUCGCCCA